rnacentral:rRNA from 1 species
GAUGAACGCUGGCGGCGUGCCUAACACAUGCAAGUCGAACGAGAAGCUAACCUUUGAUUCCUUCGGGAUGAUCAGGUUGGCAGAAAGUGGCGAACGGGUGAGUAACGCGUGGGUAAUCUACCCUAAAGUGGGGGAUAACCCUCCGAAAGGAGGGCUAAUACCGCAUAAUAUCUUCUCCUCUAAAGAGGUAAAGAUUAAAGGUGGCCUCUAUUUAUAAGCUAUCACUUUAGGAUGAGCCCGCGUCCUAUUAGUUAGUUGGUGGGGUAAUGGCCUACCAAGACCACAAUGGGUAGCCGGUCUGAGAGGAUGUACGGCCACACUGGGACUGAGAUACGGCCCAGACUCCUACGGGAGGCAGCAGUGGGGAAUAUUGCGCAAUGGGGGAAACCCUGACGCAGCGACGCCGCGUGGACGAUGAAGGCCUUCGGGUUGUAAAGUCCUGUUCUGGGGGAAGAAACCUUAAGGGUCCAAUAAACCCUUAAGC